GACGAACGCUGGCGGCGUGCUUAACACAUGCAAGUCGAACGAUGAAGCCUUUCGGGGUGGAUUAGUGGCGAACGGGUGAGUAACACGUGGGCAAUCUGCCCUGUACUUUGGGAUAAGCCUUGGAAACGAGGUCUAAUACCGGAUAUGACUGGCCUUCGCAUGGGGGUUGGGUUGAAAGUUCUGCGGUACAGGAUGAGCCCGCCGGCCUAUCAGCUUGUUGGUGGGGUAAGUGGCCUACCAAGGCGACGACGGGUAGCCGGCCUGAGAGGGCGGACCGGCCACACUGGGACGUGAGACACGGCCCAGACUCCUACGGGAGGCAGCAGUGGGGAA
rnacentral:rRNA from 1 species